rnacentral:rRNA from 1 species
CCUACGGGUGGCAGCAGUGGGGAAUAUUGCACAAUGGGGGAAACCCUGAUGCAGCGACGCCGCGUGAGUGAAGAAGUAUUUCGGUACGUAAAGCUCUAUCAGCAGGGAAGAAAAGGACGGUACCUGACUAAGAAGCCCCGGCUAACUACGUGCCAGCAGCCGCGGUAAAACGUAGGGGGCAAGCGUUAUCCGGAUUUACUGGGUGUAAAGGGAGCGUAGACGGCAGCGCAAGUCUGGAGUGAAAUCCCAUGGCUUAACCAUGGAACUGCGUUGGAAACUGUGCAGCUAGAGUGCAGGAGAGGGAGGCGGAAUUCCUAGUGUAGCGGUGAAAUGCGUAGAUAUUAGGAGGAACACCAGUGGCGAAGGCGGCUUACUGGACUGUAACUGACGUUGAGGCUCGAAAGCGUGGGGAGCAAACAGGAUUAGAUACCCCGGUAGUC